rnacentral:rRNA from 1 species
AAUGGCUUAACGGAAAUUAAACUUUUUUUUNGUUAAAAAAAUUGAAUUUAGAAUUUAAGUUAAAAUACUUAAAUAUAUAAAAGGGACGAGAAGACCCUAUAGAAUUUUAGAAUAGUUUUGUUUAAAAAUUUUUUGGUUGGGGUGACAUGAAAUAAACUUUUUUAAUUUAAUUCAUUUUAUAUGAUUGCAGGAUCCUGAAAUUUGGAUAUAGAGUUAAAAUUACCUUAGGGAUAACAGCAUAAUUUUUUUUUUAAGGUCGUAUUUGUAAAAAAGAUUAUGACCUCGAUGUUGAAUUAAGAUAAUAUUUUGGAGCAGAAUUUAAAAUAUUAAGUCUGUUCGACUUUAAUUUUUACAUGAUUUGAGUUCAAACCGGCGUGAGCCAGGUUGGUUUCUAUCUUUUUAUAAUAG